GGACAUUUGAGAGACGACAAGCACAUUAUUGAGUAUAAGCACGUUUGGCUGGCGGCGCGAUGCUGUGAUCGACGCAUCGGUGGACGCUCGACUGGAAUCUACGCUUCCGAAAUUGCCUACUGGAACUGUACCUGGUUCCCGACUGCCAUUGAAACUAAUUGUCAAGAACACCUCAAGUGGUUGCCCGCUGAACCUGUGCCGCUCCUCGUUCAAGAUAAGCUUAAGGUCGGCUGGAGAACAAGAGCUCCGCUUCCAACAAAGGCGAAAGAUCGUCAAAAGCAUUCCAUACACUCGAUGCCACCAGUGGACACGAAGUCGACGCUGGCACGGCGGUGUCCCCACGGUGUUCCACGACGGCUUCCUGGAGCUCCCUUGUCACAAGGUUUUUCAGCCAGAUCAUCUGACCAGAUGCCUGAUGAACUGUGGCCAUAAAGCGCGGAUCAAGAAACAUGCCUAGGCUGGCCACUUCAUCAAAUUUCCACUCCGCACAAAGAGCCUUGAUACAUUUUGAAUCAAUGUUAGCAAACCCUGAGUUGCCUUUGCAACCUUCAAGGCAAUGGGGCAUUCCAAAAAUAAUUGGAAUUAUAAAGCUUGGUGAAAAAGAAACCGAAACUGAUCAUGUCUCAAAUGCCUGAAGCAGAUAGACUGAAACAGAGCAUACAGAUAAUGGCAACUCAGGGUUGCAAAGGCAACCCUGAGUUGC